AUCCCAUGGACAGAGAAGCCUGGUAGGCUACACUCCAUGGGGUUGCAAAGAGUCGGACACGACUGAGCAACUUCACUUCACUUCAGAGGACUUGAGUUUUCUUUCCCCAAAGAAAAAUAAUUCUGAUUCUUCUGGGGAGCUGUGGAAUUCAGCCUUUGGAAGAGAGGACAGCAGGUAUGAUUCAAUGUUCACCAAAAGUGAAAUGUUUACUAAGUACAUACUAUGGGCCAGGUAUAAUAUAGGAGGGGCUGAGACCAUCUGGUUUCAGUCCCUGAGCUGGCACCGUGCAGCCACAUAGCCCCAGCAAGACAUGCCCACACCUCUGUCUCCAUCCAGCAUCCCUUGGGACCAAAGAGAAGCUGGCGCCCAGCCCUCCCAUCAAUGACCAAAUCCAGCAGAGCUUCCCCUUGAGUCCCCGGGGAGACAAGCCACAGGAACUUUGCCUCCAGAAUGACUGUAGGGCAGCAGUCCAGCCACUCAUGCUGACGUCUGGGGGUGGGUGAUGGGGUGCAGCGUGCUGGCUUUCAGAGAAUAAACACAAACAGAGCCAACACUCAGUGUCCAUCUUCUUUCCAAUCCUUCUCUUGCGCCCAGUCACAUCCUCAAGCUUUUCUAGAGACACUGGCCGAUGGUUACAUUCCCCUGUUGUAAUUUCACUCCUCCUCUCUUCCUAGAUUUACCUUCUCGGAGGUGAGCUAACAACCAGGGGAAAAGCUCAAAAUACAGGAAAGAGGAGCACAGACUGAAUAUGCAUGUGGAUGGCUAAGCAUUACACACAGUGAAAGAUGAAAGCCCUGUGGGCUUGGUCCCUGGAAGACGAUGCAAGUGCCAGCAUCCUGAGAUGAUGGGGGUGAGGCUCAAAGCUGCGCUGGGGUGCGUCUCAUCAGUAAUGUACAUCAGCCAUGUUUGCUGCUGUGAGCCAUGGGCUACGCCGGGAUUCGUGGCCUCAGGAGAAGAAUUUGAUCCAGGGCCAGAGAUGAGGCUUGACCACUUGGAGCUUUUGUGUAGCAAAGUUUUAUUAAAGUAUAAUAAAGAUAGGGAAAGCUUCUGACAUAGACAUCAGACGGGGACAGAAAGAGUGCCCUCCAGCUGGCUUUUUGCAAGGCAUUUUAUGUCUGUUAGCAAGCUUCUAAUCAGAUAAAAGAAACACCUCAAGGCUGAGGGAGUUUCACCAGGCCCCUCACCCACAAUAUGCAUUUUUGAGAUAGGAUGUAUCAUCCCUCAGCCAUAAAACAAUGUACUGGUUUGUUGAGCCAUUAUCAGCCCAAGGUUUGAGAAAAGAAAAAAAGUUAGUCUUAGGCAGAACCAAUUUGAAGAAAGGCAGUUUCCAAAGCAAAUACAUGGUUUAAUUAACAUCGCUGAAGAAAAACAUUUCCAUAAGAAAAACACAUCGGUUAGCUCAAGGCAGAACCAGGUGUCCUCAACACAGAAUUAAAAGAAGCCUCUCUGAAUUUCGUGCAGAGAAGGAAGAAACGUCUGCAACUGCAGUUUAUUUCCUCCUUCCGCUUGGGGACCUCUGGCCUUCCUACCUGUUACCCUCUCAUUAUCAUGAUUACUUUUCUGUUGUUGGUAAUCAAGAAAUCUGUUUACUCUCCCAGAAAUGUAUCUAAUAUGCUUGUUGUAGAAAACUUCAACUGUUCAUCUGACCAUGUAAUAUGUUGGUUAUAGAAAACUGAGUUGACCUCCUUAGUUUGUAAAUGAACUUGCCAAGGUCUCAGGGAUUCAUCCUCUACCAUCAUUUUAGCUGACUUACUUCUGUGGCUGAAGAGGCAAUGUAAUCCUUUUUGAUCAGAAUGAGCAGGUUCCCUUUUUUUUUUUUUUUACCACCAAGGUCGAGUCCUUCAUGGUCAUUAUCUAUUGUGCAAAGGCCAAGGAUGAAUUUGACAAUCACAUGAUGCAUGCAAUAAAAAGUCGACUCAGCAGGUCUGGGGUGUUGAAACUCUGUACAUUUCAAAGAAAGGUCUGGCCUUUGACAAACUCCUGGGAAAUAAUCUCUAAGCCUUUGGAAUACUCUGCCUCAUAAAGACAUCUUUGUUUACCUGGGGCCAUGGGUCAUACCAGACAGUCUGCACUCACACUGUGAUUGAUGAUAGGGUCUUGGGCAACACAAUAUCUGUAUAACCUCUGGAGAGGGUGGGAACCCAGGUGCUAAGGUCAGCCACAGAGGAGCUCCAUGCCUCCAAGACAAACUCCCAACCAAAACAAACCCUGGACACCAAGGCUCACCUGAGCCGCCCUGGUUGGCAAUAGUGCAUACAUGUCACAAAUCAUUGCUGGAAGAAUUAAGUAAUCAUCAGAAUUAAGUAAUCACUACUUAAUCAGAAUUAAGUAAUCAUCAGAUUACUCCACCAGGAGAUGACAAUAGGAAACCACGCCUGAAUAUGCUCCUUUUAUCUUUGAUGAUUUUAACUUGUGUCCUUUCCCUGUGUUAAGUCAUAACAAUGAGUAUGACAGAUUUUCUGAAUUUACGAGUCCUUCUAGCAAAUCACUGAGCCUAAGGGUGCUCUUAGGGACCCCAAAAAGAAUGAGUUAAAGAGGAGAAAACCCUUGAAAGUGCUGGUUAACAUAAGAGAGGCUUCCUCUAGUCACAUAGAAAUCAGAGCAUAGCAGGACCAGUUCUGAGUGGACACUGAUGCCCGUUUGCCUUCUUUCUGCUAAAUUACAGCCUCCCCUCCCCCCGCCCUAACUGCCAGGUGAUUUUAGUCAGUUCUCAAGAAAAGAUAUAUAUAUAUUGGUUUUGCUCAAGAUUCACCGAAAUAGAGUUGGAAAAGCCUGAGUUCCUCUGCCUUCUCCCUUUUUCCUUCUCCACGUGUUUUAAUUUGUUUAGAACUUAAGGAUGGAGAAGGGCAUGCCAACCCACUUCAGUAUUCUUGCCUGGAGAAUCCAAUGGACAGAGGAGCUUCACGGGCAACAGUCUAUGGGGUCACAAAGAGUCAGACACAACUGAAGUGACUUAGCAGCAGAACUUAAGGAACACGAUUGAGUUUGUUUAAAUCAAGGAUGAGGAGGAGCAAAAUUAGUACUCGCGCUAGAUUUCCUCUCCAAACUUUGGAAAGGAAAAUUUUCCCUCCAGUUCUAUCAUUCUAAUAAAAACAUUUUAGAAUGCAAGAUGUGACAAAAGCAAUUUCCCACCUGAGCACUGUACACACCUGCUUCACCUGAUGGGACCACAGGCAAGAAGUCCAGAGGCUUCUCUGUUACUCUCUGAUGCAAUGUGUAUCCUGCUGCUUUUCUGGAUCUGAAUCACUAGUGUCCCUCCUAUUUAAGCCUGGGCUUCCCAGGUGGCUCAGUGAUAAAGAAGCCACCUGCAGAGCAGGAGACUCAGGUUCGAUCUCCAGGUUGGGAAGAUUCCCUGGAGCAGGAACCCACUCCAGUGUUCUUGCCUAGGAAAUCCCAUGGACAGAGGAGCUUGGUGGGCUACUGUCCAUGGGACUGCAAAAGAAUCAGACAUGACUAAGCACUCGUGCACUUACACGUGAAGCUGAGAAACUGCUGCGUACAUUCUGAUCUGGUUUCAUACAAGUCAUAGACAGAAAAGGAUGCUCUUCCUGGGAUCAAUGCAGACUAUGAUCUAUUGUUUCUGUUUUUGGUUUUUUUUUUUUUCCGCACAGGCUAUUUGAAAGAAAACAAAACAAAAUGCUGAACAGUUUUGAAAAACCAAGAAAAAGUCCUGCUGGCAUGCUUGUGCACUUAUUUUCCCCACAUAUUGGUCCAGAAACCCCAUGAUGCUCUGCAUCUUGCAGACACAAGGGUUUUGAACAGAUUGCAUGCUCCAAGCUCCAGCCGCAGAGACAGCCCCAGAAUUUUAUCAUCUUACUGGGAAAUUAUUUUCCCCACAUAUGUUUUGAUGAUGACAGGCCUUUUUCCAUCUUGCUGUUCCUCCUCCUCAGGAGAAUAGAAAUGUAAGGAAUAAUUUCUGAUUCAAUACUUGCCGUUCAGCCCACGUACCACUGCAGUUUAAAGAUUGUCUACACACUUGCUAACAACUUACUUUAAAUCUAUGCUUUGGGAAAACGAGAGACAAAGGGGAAGAGAAGAAAGAACUUAAAAUAAUACAUUUGAGAAGAUAUGUAUAAUAUUUGGAAGAGAAGUUUCCCUAAUUCUACUGGCUGUAACACAUUAUAUAAAGCUACAUCUAUGUGGGUUGGACAAGUUCAUUUCUAAGCUGCUGCUGCUGCUGCUAAGUCACUUCAGUCGUGUCCGACUCUGUGCGACCCCAUAGAUGGCAGCCCAUCAGGCUCCUCCAUCCCUGGGAUUCUCCAG